rnacentral:ncRNA from 1 species
AAAAGGAAAACCCCCACAAUCUUUCGACGAACUUGGCGGGACGGAGAAAGAUUAUGGGGGCCUCACAGAAU